AGAGCACGCACGUCACGUUAAAAUCGUACGUCUCCAGUGCGAGAAGCCGCCAUUUUCUCAGCGUGAAAGAAGCGAGAAGCGAGUGAAAGACAUUACGAUGUUGAAAGCCAGAGACAUAGAACUCAAACCAACUUUGGAGUUGUCUGAUUUGGAGAGUCAUCAUUCUUGGUCUUCCCUCUUAAGGGAAUAGUUCACACAAAAAAUCAUUUAGUUGCCCUCAUGUCAUUCCAAACCUAUACGACUUUUGUCUGUCUUUAGAAUACAAAUGAAUAUAUUUUGAAUUUUCUCAGAUUUUUGUUAAUCCAUUGAGAGUCUAGAUAGUCAGUAUUUUCAAACCUCAUAAAUACAGAGUUAUUGUAGAAGUAAUCCAUUCCGAUAUUUAUAUAUGAUUAAAUCUUAAAUUAUAUGAUAGCAAACACGUAUGUUCAAAAUAAAAUAUUGGUCUCCCAGACUUACAAUGGAGGACAAAAAUUAAUAGAAUAUUAAAUAUAUUUAUUUGUGUUCCAAAAAUUAGCAGAGUUUGUAUGAGUCUGGAACAACAUGGGGGAGUAAAUUAUGACCAUUUUCAUUUUUUGGUGGACUAACCCUUUGAAGAGCAGCCCUCAACGUACAUGAACAUUUGUGAGGCCACUGAUGACGAACAGGUGGUGACUGGGAUGAAUGCUGGUCAAAGAAGAGAAUGUCCUUUCCCCUAAACUGAUGCAACAGUGGUUUUAAAGGAGGACGCUGCCCUGGGUGAUGUAGAUGUCACAUGUGCUGAUGGGGCUUCUUCAUGACUACAUCAGUUAUGCUAAAGAGAUCAUGAAAGUUGACAGUGAUGCAUGAUCUGUAUUCAUGGACUGUGAAACAAACUGUAAGUGUAUAAUUUGUAAAAACAAAAUGUUAAAUGCUUGUUCUGUGUUGUUUAGUAAAAGAGUUUACACUCUGUCAUUCAUACACAUGCUCACAUUCUUUCACACACACACGCGCGCCUCUGUUAAAUGUUAUAAUGUUGUGGUUUAUUUGUGUACUGUAAUGCUAGAAUAGUUGGUAAAGAACUUAACUAAUUGUACAUUUAUUGUAUAAUAGUGUGUUCGUAUAUUUUUAUACAAUAUAUAAAAUUUACCAAAGUCCAAUUUGAUCUUAAAAGUUAUAUUCAACAAAUGUUCAAUGCUUUAUUUAUGAACUCUGUAGCUGUUAAUGCCAUACUUUUCUGCAUUUCUUCUUACAUGCAUGUUACUUUGACUUUUCUCUUGUUUUUAAAUAAAUAUUUACCUUUUGA
ensembl:lncRNA